rnacentral:rRNA from 1 species
GCAGGCGCGCAAUUACCCAAUGCAAAUACUGUGAGGUAGUGACAAAAAAUAACGGUCCUGGCUCUUUUUGAGUUAGGAAUUGGAAUGAGUACAAUGUAAAUAGCUUAACGAGGAACGAUUGGAGGACAAGUCUGGUGCCAGCACCCGCGGUAAUUCCAGCUCCAAUAGUGUAUAUUAAAGUUGUUGCAGUUAAAAAGCUCGUAGUCGGAUUUCUGGUGAUGAUGAUUUUGAUUAGUAUCUCAAGUAAAAUUAGAGAGCUAUUGAAAUUGUUUCGCCAUAUCAAUAGCGCCUGUUUUACGGGGUAGCGCGCCUUAACUGGUUGUGUUAUCUCAGAUAGGCCUAUUACCUUGAACAAAUUAGAGUGUUUAAAUCAGGCGUUUACGUCUCGAAUAAAUUAGCAUGGGAUAAUAAUACUGCCUUUUUAGUUAUUUUAUGGGGUAUAAUUAAGAAGUAAUGUCAAUAGGGAUGUUCGGGGCCAUUCAUAUUCAGUGGUUAGAGGUGAAAUUCUUAGAUUCACUGAAGAUGCCCUACUGCGAAAGCAUUUGGCUAGGACAUUCCCGUUGAUCAAGAACGAAAGUUAAGGGAUCGAAGACGAUCAGAUACCGUCGUAGUCUUAACUAUAAACGAUACGAAUCAAGGAUUGAAUAGUGUUAAUCGUACGACCUAU